rnacentral:rRNA from 1 species
CCCUUAGAUGUUCUGGGCCGCACGCGCGCUACACUGACGAAUGCAACGAGCUUAUAACCUUGGCCGAAAGGUCUGGGUAAUCUCCAAAUUUCGUCGUGAUGGGGAUAGAUUAUUGCAAUUAUUAAUCUUCAACGAGGAAUGCCUAGUAAGCGCAAGUCAUCAGCUUGCGUUGAUUACGUCCCUGCCCUUUGUACACACCGCCCGUCGCUCCUACCGAUUGAAUGGUCCGGUGAAGCCUCCGGAUUGCACAGGCCCCGUGUCUGGCGCGAGAAGUUGGCUAAACCUUACCAUUUAGAGGAAGGUGAAGUCGUAACA